rnacentral:rRNA from 1 species
GUGGGGAAUAUUGGACAAUGGGCGAAAGCCUGAUCCAGCCAUGCCGCGUGUGUGAAGAAGGUCUUCGGAUUGUAAAGCACUUUAAGUUGGGAGGAAGGGCAGUAAGUUAAUACCUUGCUGUUUUGACGUUACCGACAGAAUAAGCACCGGCUAACUUCGUGCCAGCAGCCGCGGUAAUACGAAGGGUGCAAGCGUUAAUCGGAAUUACUGGGCGUAACGCGCGCGUAGGUGGUUUUGUAAGUUGGAGGUGAAAUCCCCGGGCUUAACCUGGGAACUGCCUCAAAAACUGCAUGACUAGAGUACGGUAGAGGGUAGUGGAAUUUCCUGUGUAGCGGUGAAAUGCGUAGAUAUAGGAAGGAACACCAGUGGCGAAGGCGACUACCUGGACUGAUACUGACACUGAGGUGCGAAAGCGUGGGGAGCAAACAGGAUUAGAAACCCUAGUAGUCC